GACGAACGCUGGCGGCGUGCUUAACACAUGCAAGUCGAACGGAAAGGCCCUGCUUUUGUGGGGUGCUCGAGUGGCGAACGGGUGAGUAACACGUGAGUAACCUGCCCUUGACUUUGGGAUAACUUCAGGAAACUGGGGCUAAUACCGGAUAGGAGCUCCUGCUGCAUGGUGGGGGUUGGAAAGUUUCGGCGGUUGGGGAUGGACUCGCGGCUUAUCAGCUUGUUGGUGGGGUAGUGGCUUACCAAGGCUUUGACGGGUAGCCGGCCUGAGAGGGUGACCGGCCACAUUGGGACUGCGAUACGGCCCAGACUCCUACGGGAGGCAGCAGUGGGGAAUAUUGCACAAUGGGCGGAAGCCUGAUGCAGCAACGCCGCGUUCGGGAUGACGGUCUUCGGGUUGUAAACCGCUUUCGCUUGUGACGAAGCGUGAGUGACGGUAAUGGGUAAAGAAGCACCGGCUAACUACGUG
rnacentral:rRNA from 1 species